UUUAGGGACGUCCCUACAGCUUCCCACACCCCAGGGCGGGGAUCUGGGAGAUCCGGGUCCGCCUUCGCCGCGAGCUAGGAAAAAGAAUACUGAGUCUAAAAGAAUACUGAGUCUAAGAGGGAACUUCAGCCUAGUUUGGGCGUUCUCUCCCGCGCGCCGCGCCCUCGCUUCCUGGCGGGGAGGGGUGGCCAGGCUUCGCGGGUGCCCGAGCAUCGAGAGCUGCGGCUAGAGCAGCUUCCUGAAGUCUGCGCGACCAUAGAGCGCGGGCCCAGGGCGCCGCCGGCGGGUGGGGGACGUUUCCAGGACGGAAGUGGACCAGAGUGUCGAAGGGAGGGCGAGGCCGGAGCCCCAGUGCAACCCAGAGAAUCCAGAGCGGGUAGCGGGCCGGCGGGCGGGGCGCAGAGCCGGGCAGCGCAGGUACCCUGCGCUUCAGCCAGCUUGCCUACUCACUUUCCUGAAUGUUCCUCCACGAUUUCCUGCCUCUCCACCUUUGCUAAUGCUAUUCUCUCUGCCUGGAUGCUACCUUUGCCUCAUCUUCGACUGACCUAAAGGAGAGAGCUUGGGCUUUGGAGUCAGAGAGACCUGGGUUCGAAUCUUGGCUUCACAACUUACUAUUUGGACAAGUACUUUGGGAAAGUAUUUAACAUUCUGGAGCCUCAGUUUCCUCAUCUGUAAAAAUGGAAGUGAUGACACCUACCUUGCAGGGUUGUUGUAAGGAUUGACUGAAAUUAUGUAUGCAAUGCAAUUAACAUAUAGUCAAUAAAUGGCACAUCGCUAUUGCUUUUCAUUA